CAAACCUUGGCCACUUUUCUGACGGCAGAGUCUGAGAGCUCAGAUGUCUUCUUUACUCUGGGAACAGGAUUUGUAACAAAAGAGAUUUUUUUUUUCUUCUUCUUCUUUUAAUCCUGAUAAAGAAGAUUAUUGGGAAGCUAUUAAAAAUCCCUUAUUGUGAUACAGAUGGAUUUAAAAAAGUGUUAAAUCUUUCCAAUGAACACUAAUAGAGUGCUCUGCUCUUGGUUGGAUUAUUCAGAGAAUGGCAGUGGUCUCUGCAAUGUCCUGGGUCCUGUAUUUGUGGAUAAGUGCCUGUGCAAUGCUGCUCUGUCAGGGGUCCCUCCAUCACACUUUCCAGCAGCAUCACCUGCACAGACCAGAAGGAGGAACGUGUGAAGUUAUAGCAGCACACAGAUGCUGUAAUAAGAAUCGAAUUGAAGAAAGAUCACAAACAGUAAAAUGUUCCUGUCUACCUGGGAAAGUGGCUGGGACUACAAGAAACAGACCUUCUUGUGUUGAUGCUUCAAUAGUGAUUGGGAAAUGGUGGUGUGAGAUGGAGCCCUGCCUAGAAGGAGAGGAAUGUAAGACGUUACCUGAUAAUUCUGGAUGGAUGUGUGCGACUGGCAAUAAAAUCAAGACCACCAGAAUGGCAUCAGAGAAAGAGAUUACACUAUAAUCUGUACUGAUCCCAUUCCAGGCUGCAAGAUUGGGCCAUGUGUGUCUAAUUUGUGUAGUUAAGGAAAUUAAGAAAGCAGAAGAAACAAGACAAAUCAGUCAACAUCCUAGAUAUAUCUGUGGUGAUUAGCCAACAAGCUAGAGCAAGUCACCAUAGGCUGUAAACCAUUUUAAUGAAGGCUUUUCCUUGCACUAAAUACAUUUAUGUUAGGCAGCUGCUGUCCUGUCAAGGAAAACAUUCACAUUUAUGACUCACAGGAUUAAAAUACCUAUUAGUAUAUUCUUCAAGGCCCACAGUAAAUCAGAUAAGCAAGUGUGUGUAUAUAUAUAGACAUAUAUAUAUAUAUAUAUAGGUAUAUAUAUAUAUAGAUAUAUAUAUAUAAACAUAUAUGAACACAUGCAUGUACACAAUAUAUGAAAUUUUACAGUGUAGUGUAUUAAUUCAUGGCUGGCUCUCAGUGAAGGCUUUGCCAGCACAUCCUCCCUUCUUUUGCAUGCAUUUGUUCCUGUGUUUAGUCCACUAGCAUAGCUCACCAAUUAAGUUGUUAAAGCCAAAGACAUAAAGCUCACAGCCUCUGUAAAUCAAUUUGUUCUCUCUUGAUGGUCAGAGCAGGUGACAAACACUGGAAAGAAAUAAUUUUGUAAUUCAAUUUUCAGAGCAGUUUCAAUGCUUUUUUUUUAAUUCCUAGUCACUCAUUUUUUUCUUUUUUAAGAACAUAAGUUUCAAUAUUUCCUGAAAAAUACAGGGCUCUUGGAGCUGUACUGGGACCUGACUGGAAAUCACAUCACUACACUUCAGCAGAGCUACUGGCACCAGGGAAAAUGCAAGUGCAUGGUCUCAGUCUGGAGAUAGAGCCCACAAAGGCACAUAAAAGCCUGCAAGAAUCAGAGCUGCUAAAAAACAUGAAAACAUGGGUCCUCGUGUAUUCCAUGUUUUGUCACUUCCCAUCUGAGCGAGGGAGUCAAUCGCAUGCUCUUGGAUUGGUGUUUACACAGGCCUUUCUGAGCCCCAGUUUGCAGGGCCUGUGGGGAGUGCCAUGCUCUUCCCCAGGGCUUUCUGCCCUGGUUCAUGUGUGCACUCCAUCGCAAAAUGCUCUUUUUGUGUAAUCCACACUAAUGACACCUGCCAUUCAUGUAUUAGCCCUCUAAAUACUUCGACAAGCUGUUUUUCUGCUGAUACUGUGAACAAUGGAAAUCAAAGCUUUGAGCACUUGGGGACUGUCAGAGCAGCUCACCUUGGAGCAAGUCUCCGGUAUCACAGCCUGCAACCCCUGUUACAGCCCACUCACCCCCCCAGUUUCCAGAGUACCAGCACACAUUUUGCCAUCAGGGACAUGCAGGGCAUUGUCCCAAGGGACCUGAGCACCACAUUUCUUAGCAGCCACUGCUCAUCUCAUGCUGAAGGAAAUAGCACCCGAGGUGCCCAUGGCCCCUUGGCAUCAUGUUCCUAAUGUUAUUCCCUGCACCUACACCAAACACACAAAUUCUUGAGACAGUGUACAAACAAGUAAGGGAGGUAUUCAUCCCCAGGAGAGAAAACCUAGCAGGGUCACUUGUCUGGCAAACCAGGAGAGCUGAAAAUGGGAACGGGGGUAAGGAAGGAAAUGAUCCAUCCGAGGACCUAACAGAGCGCCGUCUGCAUGGAGACAGUGAAAGCCCUGCUGAUUUAUGAGGACAAAGUAUUGAAAGUUUAAAACCAUCUCAGCAUUUACAAGCCAAAUGGAUUUCUUAUUUGCACUUUGACUGUUUACCAGCUAACAACAGUGGCUUUACUGUGUGAAAGAAAGUAUUCAGCAGAAAUAGUGCCCCUGGUUUUUGACAGCUGAAAAUAAAAAUGAAGAAAAUGGUUCCUUUGGUAAAGUUUCCAAGAUUAUGAAGUUAAAACAACCAUAGAAGUUUGGAUCUACAAUUUACUUUAUACCAGUUAAAGUAUAUAUAUAGAAAUAUAUAUAUAUUAAUAUAUGAUAUUUUGAAAUAAAAGCCUCAGUCUUCAAGAAAUUGAAUAGUACCACACUUGGCUGCAGCUGCUGUAAUUUUUUUUUCUUUCUUUUUUUUUUUUUGUAAUGGUCUGGAAGAUCCUUACCCGUUUCAGAGAGAAAUGUGACAGUGAAGAGGCAAAGCCAACCUGCUGCGGUACAAGGAUGCCUAAGAGCUACAUGAAUCCUACCGAUGUGGCAUCCAGAGCUUCCUGUUCCCUUCAGCAGAAUUUUGAGGGCAUUUGUUGUUCCACUUUGUGUUGGAGGCUUUUCCCCUUGUGCAAUACUAGCAUGCCGGCUUUGCUUCAUUAACCAUACUUGAUUGAUAUAUAACAAUGAUAAUUCUAUCCUCUUCCAAGAAAAUAUUUUUAGAGCUGUUAGAUAUUCUGUGAAGAAGAGACGGACAACUACUGAGUGAAGUACAGUAUGUAUUAAAAGAUGAUUUGGCAGAGUUUGGUAGACUUCUUAUUAAAGAUGUACUGUACAUACAAUGUCUUCAGGCUUUGUAUAGCUCAUAGAGACUACAGUAAAAACCCAGUAACCAACUCCAAAGCUUUGCGUUGUUGGCUCACUAAUUCUUUGAAACAACAACAAAGCUAUUUCUUUCCAGACCAACAUGUAAGAGGGCUUUUAGUUACAGUUUGGUUUUAUUAACGAGACUGUUUGCAAUUUGUGAACAAGCAUUUCAGCUUAAGCGAAUGCCUCUCUGGACAGCUUGGAUGCUCAGGCACACCUGCACACAAGGGAGUCAUCUGAAGUUAAGCUUCCCUUGAUGCAGACCAGACUAAGUCACAUUAAGAGCAUUUGCCACCAGCUGAAAGCAUAUAUAUGGGCAAUUCCAUGGCACAACAAAUGCACAAGAGUUUGUGGAAAGCAAAGUGUGUCCGAGCCUUGCUUUUGUUUCAGAAAUAGUUUAUUUUGGUUUAAUUUUUAUCUGUUUCUUGUUAAGGUUAAUUCUGCUGAGAUGAGAUGCUUUACAGCAAGGAUGCGUCCACAGAGACAUAGAUCUCACUGCAAGCAGUUUGAAUUCACAUUUCUAGCUAAGCUGAUGCUGUUCACCAUGCAGCCUGGCCCUUGCAUUGCUGAAGAAAGAUCAAAUCUGAGGGCUGAAAUAUGCAAGCAUAGUUCAUAUUCCCAGGCACUUUUGUGAGCAGUCCAAUUAAUUUUGGGGGGUUUAUUCAUGUGGAAAAGUAUCUUGCUGUCACGCAUAACUCUUCCCUUUGGUGCACCUAAUGCUACCAAAUCAAAGAGGAAAAGGGAAUUGUAAAACUUGUUCUAUUCAGUCCUGCUUAAUUUCUUUAAUAUUUGCAAUUUCUUUAAUAUUUGCAAUUUCUUUUCAGCCUGCUUACCUGUCUCUCACCAGACCACUGUGGCCAUGCCAAUAACAUUUAAUCCAAUACAGAGGAAGUGCUGCACUUCCUGACCGGGAGAUGGUCAAAAUUCUCCUACUAACUUUCUCCUUCAGGGAAACGACUUCAGUUCCUGAGGCUUCACGAGGCAGAAAUUUGUCACUGCAAUUACACUGUGUAUUAAAGCAGCUACAUGACAUGUCACGCCAUACUCCAUGCAGGCUUUCUGUGCUGGUCCCUGCCUGAUGCUCACAGUGGAAAUGGAUAUGCUGUUUCCAAGUACUUCUGUUAUUUCCCCUUCAAAAAGAUAUGAGAGUGAAAAGUGUCCAACAAAGAAACUUGUUUUUCUUCUGGGCACAGAAAUACUAAGUAGGAGCACCAGCCUCACUGCCAGCUGUAGGUGCUACCACAUGGAAACCAGCCUCACUGGUGGCCCAGCUGGAUGUGCCAUGUAUUUGCUGGCCACAGCCACCUGCUUAAGCCACAGAAGAUACCUGGACCCUGGUCUAUGUUUUAGACAUGGUCUGCCACGACCAUGUGUCUGUGAUCCCACCAUCUCAAUUUGAAGGGCACCACUGACUACCUGAUCACCCACAGAUAGAUGUGGUCCCAAAAUGAGAUCAUCAGACCAACUCCAGACUCACUUGCCACAAACAAGGAGAGACUUCUCCAAAAUAAAUCCUUAGCCUUUCUCAAUUCUUCUAGAAGAGCACUUAAAAAAAACCCAGGACCUUCUAGAGCUAGGUAGCCCUUGGUGCACUAAGACAUAUCUCCCGGGUCAGGAUCUAAGUUGAUUAAAAGCCAAGAUAUGUUAUCAUCAAUUUACCAUUGAGAACUGAGGCACCUAAAGCUAAAUGGCCACUCAAAAUCACAUUGGAGAGCUAUGGAAAAUUGAGCAGAAAUUGAAGUUUGGUUUCCUUGUUCCCAGUCUACUGAGAUUCUGUAAGAUGACCCACACACAGCAAAUUAACCCAUGGCCUCUUAUACCCUUUGCAAAGCCCAAGGUAUCAUCACCAUUGUGAGGUAUAUACCCCAUAGCAAUGUAUCUGACAUGGGUCAGACUAUGAGUAGAUAACAAUGCUUAUGCCUGUUGAGAUUGGGAAAUAUUAGACUUGCUAAAAUAUAAGAAGGAAAUGUUGUCAUUUCCACAGCAAAGUUUCUUAGGGAUGUUUAUGAAUUUUUCUUUGCCAGUAGGCAGCCUCAAAUAUCACCACACCAAAUUCAGUAAACAUCUGCGUCUCUUUGAAGUUGCUGCAAAAUCUGUUCAUGAAGUGCGGCACUGAGAAAUUGCUGUUUUAAUUAAAAUGUUUUAGAGGGGAAUUAAGGCCUUUGCAAAAAUAAUGACUAAUAAAACGUGAAGUCAAAUUAAGAGCUGGAUGCAGCUAACCUUCAUUGUCUCAGUGAACCAAAUUGAAAACAAUAAUAAAAAAAAUUCAACCAGCCUGGAGUCACGAUGAUCAUGUAUUUCAGUGAUAUACACAGUAAUAAAGUGUGUAGUGGGAAGAUGUCAGAGCUGCUUUUUCACCUUGGCCAAUGCAAACCCAGUACGUUUCAGUGGUGGAGUGAAUGGGUCCCACAUUCUCAUGAAAAAGUGAAAGUCAUACCAUUCUCUGCACAGUGUUGAAAGGUAUUUACAUCAACAGACAAGAAAGUUACAGUUCCUGCUUUCUGGCAGAAGUCUAGACAGAGUCAUGUCAGGGAAAUAUAUAUUUGUAAAUGCAUCAAAGAUAAACUUAGAUUUAUGUCAGUGUUUCUUCCUCAAAUGUGUGAAACCAAGUUAUGUAAAUCUAAAAUGUACAAGUUGGAAAAAAUACUGAAAAAAAAAAAAAAGAAGAAAAAAGUAGCUACCAUCUGCCUAUUGAUUCAGAAAAUCUAGAUUAUGUGCUUCUGUCCAAAAAUCUCCAGUAAUAAAAAGCUCAGUGUGGUAUGA